rnacentral:rRNA from 1 species
AGUCGUAACAAGGUUUCCGUAGGUGAACCUGCGGAAGGAUCAUUGUCGAAACCCGAAAAAGC